rnacentral:rRNA from 1 species
UUAGGAAUCUUGCGCAAUGGGCGAAAGCCUGACGCAGCGAUGCCGCGUGCGGGAUGAAGGCCCUCGGGUCGUAAACCGCUUUCAGCAGGGACGAUAGUGACGGUACCUGCAGAAGAAGCCCCGGCCAACUACGUGCCAGCAGCCGCGGUAAUACGUAGGGGCGAGCGUGUCCGGAUUUAUUGGGCGUAAAGAGCUCGUAGGCGGUUUGGUAAGUCGGGUGUGAAAUCUCCACGCUCAACGUGGAGGGGCCACUCGAUACUGCCAUGACUCGAGUCCGGUAGAGGAGUGUGGAAUUCUCGGUGUAGCGGUGAAAUGCGCAGAUAUCGGGAGGAACACCCGUAGCGAAGGCGGCACUCUGGGGCCGGAACUGACGCUGAGGAGCGAAAGCGUGGGGAGCAAACAGGAUUAGAUACC